CCAGACUCCUACGGGAGGCAGCAGUGGGGAAUUUUGGACACUGGGCGCAAGCCUCCUCCAGCUAUUCCGCUUGUGGGAUGACGGCCCUCGGGUUGUCCCCCACUUUAGUAUCUCACGAAAAGGCGCUCUCGAAUACCUCUCUCUGCUGACUUUCCUCUAAGAAUCCUCCCCGGCUAACUCCUUUCCAGCAGCCUCGGUAAUACGUCGGGUUCGAGCGUUAAUCGGAAUUACUGGGCGUAAAGGGUGUGCAGGCGGCGGAGUAAGACAGAGGGGAAAUCCCCGGGAGUAACCUGGGAACUGCAUUCGAAACUGGCAGGCUGGAGUCUUGUAGAGGGGGGUAGAAUGCCAGGUGUAGCGGUGAAAUGCGUAGAGAGAGGGAGGAAUACCGGUGGCGAAGGCGGCCCCCUGGACAAAGGCUGACGCUCAGGUGCGAAAGCGUGGGGAGCAAACAGGAUUAGAUACCCGAGUA
rnacentral:rRNA from 1 species